rnacentral:rRNA from 1 species
CCUACGGGUGGCAGCAGUGGGGAAUAUUGCGCAAUGGGCGAAAGCCUGACGCAGCGACGCCGCGUGAGGGAUGACGGUCUUCGGAUCGUAAACCUCUGUUAGCAGGGAAGAACGCUCACUGUGCUAAUCAUCAGUUACUUGACGGUACCUGCAAAGGAAGCACCGUCUAACUCCGUGCCACCAGCCGAGGUAAUAAGGAGGGUUCGAGCGUUAAUCGGAAUUAGUGGGCGUAAAGCGCGCGGAGGCGGUAUGUCAAGUGAGGGGUGAAAUGCCCGCGCUCAACGUGGGAACCGCCGUGGAUACUGGCGAGCUGGAGUGUGUGAGAGGAUAGUGGAAGUCGAGGUGUAGGGGUGAAAUGUGUAGAUAUCUGGAAGAACACCAAUGGCGAAGGCGGCUAUCGGGCACAUAACUGACGCUGAGGAGCGAAAGCGUGGGUAGCGAACAGGAUUAGAUACCCGAGUAGUC